ensembl:lncRNA
UCCACCCUUUAUUCCACAUCACUACAUCAUGCUUAACUUAUAUCUAUAUACAAACAAAACAGUAAUUAACAUGCAUUAAAUAUGUACAUAUCUAUAUACAUAUAUAUAUAUAUAUCUAUAUAUGUAUAGUAUAUAUAUAUGUAUAUAUGGAAUCACUGACUACACUCCCCCAGCAUCAAAUUCCCUUGUAGUACUGUAGAAUCACCAAAUACACAGAAUGCUGUUGCAUAAUCAACAAAUACACAAAACAGCAUGGUCAGAUGGGUAUCCACAGAUCGUAAAGCUAGAAAGAUUACUACAUUGGAAAAGGAUAAUCUGAAACAGAUGGAAAAAUGCUCAACCACGUUGUAGGCUCACAGAAAAAAAACUCCAACAGGUGCAAUCUCCAGAAAAAGAUCCUUCCUCAGUGGCACUCAGCUCUUAAAUGGGGUCUAGGAGAGGUGGAGCCAGGCUACACCCCUUUCAGUCACACAGGUGAAUUGCUUUCACCUGUGCUCCCGCGGCUGACUCAGUGCUCACCUCAGGUGAUCAGUCAGAGGUUCAGGCUGUGACUCAACAGUUCCCAUACACUCCACCCCUUCACAGAGUGAACCAAUGAUUGAGUUAACUAAAGGGUGAGUCUUUCCUACUACAAUUUCCCAUCACAAUGUAUGUUGACACAAUUUAAGACAAGUAGUGAUUGGUGAAAGUUUAUGUUCUUUCAUGGGCCAGUGCUCGAUGAUGUUAUGGGAGGUAUGUAGUCAUGAGGUCCAGGUCCAUUCUGUACUCCAUCAGUCCCAGGCAGACCAUCACUGAGUGUCGCACAUGAUCUGACAGCAACACUGGAACGCUUUGAUGACAUUUAGUUCCUUCCAGUGAUUCUACAGCCUCAAAGACUCACGGGGAGUAAUACAGAUGUUUCAGGGGUACCAGGAGGGGAGGGUUUGCCCUCCAGGGCAAGAUACAGGCCAUAUUUCUAUCCUGGGUCAACACUUUGGCUUGUACUGGGGCAUGCCCCGGCUGCCUGUACCAUUACUUCUUUCCAGAUGUCUGCGGCUGCAGAAUUGUAUCAGGCACCAAAGGGGGUGUCCUGAUCUGCCAUAGGGAUAUGAUGGGGGUUCCUUUAGCAAUGAAGACCAGAGUGUUGACCACAAUAUCCAUAGGCCGUGUACCCAUUACCGGAGGGACUACUGAGCCUCCCAUCUCCAAUAAUCGUCCCCAAGGUGCAAGUAGGCCACACCACUUUGGUCCUACCUGCACCUUCCAAGGCCAUUUUAUUCUAUGGGUACCUGGAUCUAGAUUCUCAGGGGCAGGGAGCAGAAGAUUAUUCUCAUUACCAAUCUGGGGUCAGUUACCAACCUGAUUAUCAGUGCCCGUAAUUUGGAUCUGAAGCGGGGAGGCCCACGUUGUCUGUAGCAUUUUCAGGGCACUGAGUCUGCUGUCUCAAGGUCUUUCAUUCAGGUUCUGCAGGGUUUCAUAGAGUCUUUUUGUCCACCCCUGCAAGGACUAGGAGUCUGUCUUCAGGGGGCAGCCUUAAGAAUACCGUUAUAAUGUUUAAUAAGGCCUGCCCCCAUUGCAUUAUAUGCCAGGUGGGAUCGCCACUCAAUGUUGUUUUCUUCUGCCCAGCAUUGUAUCAUUGCACCAGUAAAAUGGGUCCCUUGGUCACUCUCAAUGACUUGAGGUGUCUCAUAGGCAGACAUCCAGCUUAGUAAGUGCCUUGAUGGUAUAUGCCUGGUUUGCUCUUGGCACUGGAUAGGUCUGCAGUAGUCCACUUGCAGUAUCGACGCAGGUCAGGGCAUAUCUCGCCCCCUCAGACUGAGAGAGGGGCCCAAUGUAAUCAACCUGCCAUCACUGGAGAGGAUUGUGUCCUCUAGCAAGGUGGGCUGUUGUUUUGGGCAAUGACCUUGGUGUCAUCUUAGAGCAAGCGUCGCAGUCUCAGCAUGCUUCGGCAAUAUCAGAUAGCUGUAUGGGCAGCCCCCAUGCUUUAGCAGCUGCCCACAUUGUCUUUUGUCCAGCAUGCCAUAGCUUCUGAUGUAACCAACGGGCAAUGUUCUCAGAUGGUGAAGUCUCAAUCCAUCGAACUCAGGCCAGUGUGUCCGCUUCGUCAUUUCCUCAUGACUGUAGGGGUUGGUGGCCAGAAACAUGGUAAGACAUGUACAAUCCUGUGUUUAACUGCAUUCCAUAUGUCUAACCACAUAUCUUUGCACCAGAUUGGUUGGGCGUGGAUAGUCCAUUCUUAGGUGGCCCACUGUGCAAUCCAAAGAGCGAGCCCUCGGUACAUAGCCCAGCCAUCUGUGCAGAUAUUCAGGAUACUGUCACCGGGUUCCUUAGUUAUAACCAUCCACACGGCUUGCAGUUCUGCCCAUUGGCUGCUCUGACCAUCCCCCUCAUCAAACCAGAUUGUCUCGGGGGAGGGAUGGUAUGCUAACGCUCUCCACUUGCUUGGGUUGCCCUUGGUGGACCCAUCUGUGUACCAGGCACCUUCAGGGAUAGGAUAUUUUCCCUCCUGAACAGGACUCUUCUCUGGUGGAGCGACCAAUGUUUCCUUUGGUGCAUCACUACGAUACGUCACUAGGCCUAGGAUCUUCUGAAGUUCUUCUUUUAAUGGUGAUGUAGACUACUCCUCUGGCUGAGAUAGACAACCCAUCGUGCCACCAUUUGUGCUUGGGCCACCCUUGUCUUAGGAAGGUGGGUCAGAUCUUUCAGCCACCCCUGAAUCGGCUGGGUGGUCUUAACUAUGAUCUCAGCUGUUUGGGUUACUGGCUCUACCGCCUGUAAUGCAGAGUAGGCAGCCAAUAACUGUUUUUCAAUUAUACUGUGUCUUCUUUCUGCUCCAUGCCAGACCUGAGACCAGAAUCCAAUGGGGGUCCGAACAGAACUCUGGCGUUGCCACAGGCCCCAGCCAAAGCCAUCCUGGGUGACAUGAACAUCUAACUCGGCUGGGAGGGUAGGAUCAAAUAUACCCAAUGCCUGGGCUUGUUUAACUGCCAGUUUUGCCUGUUGGAAAGCGUCCUGUUCCAUUCUCCCCCAGUCCCAUAGCUGCCCCUUUUUUGUGAGUCUGUACAGUGGCCUCAGCAGCUGUGCUAAAUGAGAUAAAAAGGAGUGCCAGUACACCAGUAUACCUAAAAACUCCUGCAGCUGCUUUGGUGUUGUAGGGACUGGGAAUGCCUGAACGUUAUCUAUUACAGCACUGGGUAGUACUUUGGUCUUUCCUGACUGAACUACCCCCAGGAAUUUUACAGACAGGCCCAGAUCUUGCACCUUCUGAGGAUUUAUAGCCCAUCCUCUUUCUUACAGAUAGGUAAUGAAUCUACUGCCUCCUCCAAUGAGUCAGAUGUCAACAGGAGAACAUCAAUAUAAUGAUACAAGUUAACAUUAUCAGGUUUUCUCCAAUUAGCCAGAUCACGCGCCACUAGAUCAUAGCAAUAUGUUGGCAAAUGCACGUACCACUGUGGCAGGACUUGAAAGGACCACUGCCUGCCUCCCCAUCUAAAUGCAAACUGAUCUUGCGAUUCUUCAGCAAUUGGAAUACUGAAGAACACAUUUGCUAAAUCUAGGACACAAUGGUAGGUUUUUAUCUCCCUACUCAAUAUGUCCAUUAGGGAGGCAGUAUUGGGUAUGGCUGCAUGAAUAGGCAGCAUGACCUUAUUUCAUUCUCUAUAAUCCACUGUCAUUCUCCAUGUUCCAUCCAACUUCUGCACUGGCUAUAUGGGGGAAUUAUAUGGGCUAUGUGCAGCUCUUAUAAUGCCUACUUUUUCUAAUUCCUGCACCAUUCUUGAUAUUUCAUCUUAACUACCUGGGAGCCUGUACUAUCUUACAUUAAUAAUUCUGGCUCAUGCUGCACAUGGCUUCUCAAUAUUGCCUGUUCCACCUGGACACUAAUGCACCUUUGUUGAAGUCUGAACUCUCCCACAGUCGUCUGGAGCCAGACCCCAUAAAAAAAUCUAUGCCCAGGAUGUAUUCUUGGACCGGGGCAAUAGACAAUUUAUACUCCCGAGGUGAGAUGUCCAACCCCCAGUUUCAACCAUGUUUGGGCGAUUGGAAUGGUGUAUCCCUCAAAACCACCAAUCAUCACUCUAUUGCCAUUGAAUCUAGUCAGAUCUCUGUAGAUUAUUUAUGUUUCUGCUCCUGUGUCAACCAACAUCAUAACUCCCUAAAUAUUCUUCCGGGACCAAAAAAUCGUCAGUUCCAUCUAGGGCCUCCAGUCUCAUCUGGAGGCCAUAGGGGAACUAGCAUCCCUUGUCACGCCAUAAAUUGUGCUAUGGCCAAGUCUUUUGUCUCUGGUGGCUCAGGCAUUGUGGCCCCAGACACCUGAGGAUGCUUCUUUUUCCUACUACAGAUUAUAAAAUCUUCUCAGUUCCAUGCUGUCGUUGGUUAUCUAUCUAUAAAUUUUACCCUAGGUUUUUUAGGGUAAUUUUGAAAUCUUUGAUUGUCCUUCAGCUGUUUCCAAAGCUGGAGGAGGACAUGAUUGGACUGGUGAUCAAUUUUAGUAAAUUGGACCCCAGGCCGGAUUAGGUCAUUAAAUGUUUGCUUUCAGGAAACCCAUAUGGGUCCCGAUUGAGGAGUUUGUACAGCUGGCCUCCUAGUUUUAAUUACUGGCAGGACUUAUGCUUCUUCUAGUGUUCACAUAUUGUGCCCGGUCCGCAGGCGCUCUGUCUCUCCCAGAUCGGCCACUAGUGAUGACCCAGGAAAGACUCCCUGGCAAUGCCGCCAUGCCUUCUGAGAAUACCGGCACUAAUGGCAGUAAAACUGAAGCCUCUGUUUUUAACACGCCUGUGCCAUGCAAGCUUCCAGGUGGUACAGAAGAUGAUGUGGAGAGUGAAAACCCUGGCCCCAGUUCCUCUGCCAAGGAGACUUAAAUGUCUUCUUACAUGGAAAACCUAUAUGAAUAAACACGGUGCAAGUGCCCAGAUUGUGUGCAGAGACUGUGAUGCCUCAGCAAUGAUUUCUGCAGAAGCUUUGGUUAGCAGGACAGCUGUACUGCAUAAAAGAUAGAUUGACAUCUCUGGGUUUUUUUCACUACCGAACAGCAGAUUUCUUCACACACUGGAAAGUGGGGUGUCCCUUGAGAUGAAGUAGGGAUCCAUAGCUGCCUGCAUUCUCCACCAAUAGUUGUCAUGGAGUUAUCCCUAGAUACAAGUCCGUGACAGGGGCACACAGACCCCGGGAAAAAAAAGAAAAAAAGAAAAAAAGAAAAAAAAGGGAGAGAGAGACAAAGGAUCGAAGGAAAAAACAAGAAGGAAGGGAUACUAACGGCUUGCCGCGCGAGCCGGCCCGGGGCUCCGAGAGAGGGGGAAGGGCAGAGAGCUAGCAGAUAGUUUUAACAAAGAGAAAACACAAUGGCAACGAUCUGAGGAGGAACGGUAAUGUACUAAAUUUAACCAAAUCAAACAAAAUGAGAGAGAGAAGAGUACCCAAAGUACGAGUCAAACCACGACAGUGAGAGGCACGUGCUUUUCUCCGCAGCGAGCUGAGACCGCCAGAGGCAGCGAACGGCUGAGAUCCAGUCCGCAGCUCCACCUCACUUCCUCUUCGCGCCAAG